UACGUAGGUAGCGAGCGUUGUUCGGAGUUACUGGGCGUAAAGAGUGCGUAGGCGGUGUUCCAAGUCUGUUGUGAAAUCUCCCGGCUCAACUGGGAGGGUGCGGCGGAAACUGGGACGCUGGAGUACGGGAGAGGUAAGCGGAAUUCCUGGUGUAGCGGUGAAAUGCGUAGAUAUCAGGAGGAACACCUGCGGUGUAGACGGCUUACUGGACCGAUAACU
rnacentral:rRNA from 1 species